rnacentral:rRNA from 1 species
AUGCAAGGCGCCGCCGUCGAUGGGAGGAGCAGGGCUUUGCCGGACAAGGCCGACACGAGCUCCAAGAAGGCGCGGCAGGACCUGCCCGACGGCCACAUGAAGCAAGAGGCGGCCGGUGGAGGAGACGGAGGCGCCAUCGUCACGGCGGCGUACAACCCGCGAGUGGAACUCGCCGUGAGGAUCGACAAGCAAGUGCUCCACUGCCCCCUCUGCACCCUCCCCUUCAAGCCCCCCGUCUUCCAGUGCAAAGCGGGGCACCCGGCCUGCGGCGGCUGCGUGGCCCAGCUGCCCUUCGGGCAGUGCAUGGCGUGCGUGGACAGUGGUGGCUUCUUCGACCCCUGCCCUGCGCUGGACGCCGUGGUGUCCUCCACCAGGAUCGGGUGCCCCAACGCCGGCUGCCAGUGGUACGUGACCUACCACGAGGUCGCCGAGCACCAGAAAGCAUGCCCGCACACGCCCUGCCACUGCACGGAGCCCGGCUGCGGCUAUGUCGGCGCACCACAGGCGCUCGCCGGCCACAUCAACACCGUCCACUCGGCGCCGUUGCGUGCCGUGCAGUACGGCAAGGUCAGCCAGCUCCAGCUGCCGGUGUCGACCCCGCGGCUGGUGCUCCUCGGUGACGACAACCGCGUGUUCCUCCUGACCGUGGGCGCGCUCGGCGCCGGUGCGGCCGUCGUGUCCGUGGUGUGCGCCAGGGCUAGGGCGGCGACGCGGCCCCGGUUCACGUGCAAGAUGUGGGUCAACCUGGGGCCGCCCCCGGCGGCGGCGGCGAACUGCGGCAAGGAGGACAUGGUGCUGGUGGACAUGCACAUCAGGAGCAGCUCGUCGCCCGGCGCGGUGGCCGCCGCGGACGAGCCAACGUUCCUGCCGGUGCCGCGGAUGUACCUGGUUCCAGCAGCAGCAAGGGACGGGACGUCCAUGGAAGUUCCCCUGCACAUCCGCAUCGACAAGCUCUCCCCUUUGUCCGACGCAUUGGUUUGA